rnacentral:rRNA from 1 species
UACGUAGGGUGCGAGCGUUAAUCGGAAUUACUGGGCGUAAAGCGUGCGCAGGCGGUUUUGUAAGCCAGAUGUGAAAUCCCCCGGGCUUAACCUGGGGAAUGGCAUUUGGGACUGCAAGGCUGGAGUGCGGCAGAGGAGACGUGGAAUUCCUGGUGUAGCAGUGAAAUGCGUAGAUAAUCAUGAGGAAUACCAGAAGGCGAAG